ncrna:unclassified sequences DTF805b RNA
AUGGAGGAAUCCGAAAAUCCUUUAAAAGAGUAGGGA